rnacentral:tRNA from 1 species
CAAAAAAUAGUUUAAAUAAAAUAUUAAUUUUGGAGAUUAAUGAUAUAAUUUAUAUAAUAAAAAUUUAUUUUUUUGA